AUUGGAUGAUGCCCAUUCAUGCUGAGGAGAGCCAUCUGCUUUACUCAGGCCAGCGUGAAUUCCAAUGCUUAUCUCUUCUUUGGAUGCAAAUUAUCUUCCACAUUCUGGAGCAGAGAGUUCCAUGUUUCUGAAGACCCUUCAUACUUCGAGCUCAAGUCCAGGAACCACAUGGCAGCCAUGAUCUAGUUUAAAGAACACUAGGCCAGCCUCUGGAGAUCCAGAUUUCAUUUUGUCUCUGCUAGUAACUC